UACGUAGGGCGCGAGCGUUGUCCGGAAUUAUUGGGCGUAAAGAGCUCGUAGGUGGCUUGUUGCGUCUGCCGUGAAAGCCCGUGGCUUAACUACGGGUCUGCGGUGGAUACGGGCAGGCUAGAGGCUGGUAGGGGCAAGCGGAAUUCCUGGUGUAGCGGUGAAAUGCGCAGAUAUCAGGAGGAACACCGGUGGCGAAGGCGGCUUGCUGGGCCAGUUCUGACGCUGAGGAGCGAAAGCGUGGGGAGUGAACAGG
rnacentral:rRNA from 1 species